rnacentral:pre_miRNA from 1 species
CGGGCUCUCACCCAGGGGCGAAUUUCUCGCUGGGGCCUCCAAAUGUUGUAACCAAGCGAGUUAUAGAGAAACACCACAUUUUGAAACUAAUUCAGGAGUCUUUUAUUAC